CAGAGCCUGGCGGUUGUAGCGGGUGGCACUUGCAGCGGACCGGCUGCAGCUUGUCCAAGCCAUGCCGGCGGCGCGCGUGGAGUACAUCGCGCCCUGGUGGGUUGUGUGGCUGCACAGCGUCCCGCACCUCGGCCUGCGCCUGCAGCGGGUGGACAGCACCUUCAGCCCCGGCGACGAGACUUACCAGGAGUCGCUGCUCUUCCUGGGGGUGGUAGCGGCCGUUGGCCUGGGCCUGAACCUCAUCUUCCUCGCUGUUUACCUGGUGUGCACAUGCUGCUGCCGGCGGGACCACACAGUGCAGACCAAGCAGUCUAACUCCUGCUGCGUCACCUGGACAGCUGUGGUGGCCGGGCUCCUCUGCUGUGCUGCGGUGGGUGUCGGUUUCUAUGGAAACAGUGAGACCAACGAUGGGGUGUACCAGCUGAUCUACUCCCUGGACAACGCGAAUCACACCUUCUCUGGAAUUGAUGAGCUGGUGUCUACAAACAUUCAGAAGAUGCAGGUGGACCUAGAACAGCACCUGGCUCCGCUCAGCGAGAUCUUUGCUGCCCGGGGUGACUACAUCCAGACCCUGAAGUUCAUACAGCAGAUGGCAGGCAAUAUCAUCAACCAGCUCUCGGGACUGCCCGUGUGGAGGGAGGUCACCACGCAGCUGACUGAGCUGUCCCACCAGACUGCAUAUGUGGAAUACUACAGGUGGCUCUCCUAUCUCCUUCUUUUCAUUUUGGACCUGGUCAUCUGCCUCGUCACCUGCCUGGGAUUGGCCAGGCGCUCCAAGUGUCUCCUAGCCUCCAUGCUGUGCUGUGGGGUGCUGACCCUGAUCCUCAGCUGGGCUUCUCUGGCUGCUGAUACGGCUGCGGCAGUGGGCACCAGUGACUUCUGCGUGGCUCCUGACGUCUACAUCUUGAACAACACACAGAGCCAGAUCAGUUCAGAGGUGACCCGCUACUACCUGCAUUGCAGUCAGAGCCUAAGCAGCCCCUUCCAGCAGUCGCUGACCGCCUUCCAGCGCUCGCUGACCACCAUGCAGAUCCAGGUCACAGGCCUGCUGCAGUUUGCCGUGCCCCUCUUCCCUACAGCAGAGAAAGACCUUCUUGGCAUCCAGAGUCUGCUAAACUCCUCUGAGACCAGCCUGCACCAGCUGACUGCCAUGUUGGAUUGCCGAGGGCUGCACAAGGACUACCUGGACGCCCUCACUGGUAUCUGCUAUGAUGGCAUUGAAGGCCUUCUGUUCCUUGGUCUCUUCUCCAUCCUGGCUGCCCUGGCUUUCUCCACCCUGACCUGUGCAGGAUCUCGAGCCUGGGAACACUUCAUCAACAGGGACAGAGACUAUGAUGACAUUGAUGACGACGACCCUUUCAACCCCCAAGCUCGGCGCAUCGCAGCCCACAACCCAAUGAGGGGGCAGCUGCACAGUUUCUGCAGCUACAGCAGCGGCCUUGGCAGCCAGUGCAGCCUUCAGCCUCCUACCCAGACCAUCUCCAAUGCCCCUGUCUCCGAGUACAUGAACCAGGCCAUACUCUUUGGUGGGAACCCACGAUACGAGAAUGUGCCACUCAUCGGGAGAGGUUCCCCUCCGCCCACAGUAAGUAUCCCUUCCGUGGCAAAGUCCCUAUCAGGGACAUAAUCAAAGAUAAAACCUGUCAACAAAGUGUGUGAUCCCCACAGAGAUAGAAAAGAAGGCGACAGCUUUGCUGUUAAAUAGGUAUUAAAGCAGGCUGCCUCACACAUGUCACGGGACAUCAGCUACCCAGGACAUAAAGACACAAAGCAAUCCCACCCUGUUAGAUGGUCUCCCGGGCAUGGCCCACUGCACAGCUAUCCUCAAGAUAAAUAGCCUCUGUCCUCAAUCAAGAGGACCAGCAAGAGCUUUUGUUCCACUGGCCCAUCAUAAAUCCACCCCUUAGUUAGAGUAACAUGCUUGGCUGAUCGUUGUUUUCACUCAGAAGGAAAAGCAAAUUUCUCAUACCAUGUGACAGUCAGGGGCCUCCAACUUGGAGCUCAGCACCUAAGCUGUCACUGGGGAGGGAGUGUCUUCUAUGAUAAUGGCCUUUACAGGGCCCUCAAGAAAGUGUUCCUAGGGCUAGGGAUGUGGAUCAGUUGGUAGAGCCCCUGCCUAGCAUGCAUGAGGCCUUGGAUUCAAACCCCAGCACCAUGAAAAACUGGAUGUGGUGAUUCAAGAAGUUCAAGGUCACAUAGAACAAGUUCAAGGCCAUCCUGAGACACAAGAGAUCCUACUUCAAAAGGAAAAAAACGAGAAAGGAAAAAAAAAACCAUUAUUCUAUUAUUCUUGUAAUGUAAGACCAAAAGGAAAUUUCUUCUGCUUUUAUUCAUUUAUUUAUUUGAUGUGCUUGGGGUUUUUGCCUGCACCACAUACAUGCACAUGCCUGGUACUUGUGGAGGCCAGAAGAGGGCAUGAGAUCCCCAGGGAUUGGAGUUACAGGUGAUUUUAAACCAUCAUGUGAGUGCUGGGAAUUGAACCUGGGUCCUCUGGAAGAGCAGUCAGUGCUCCUCACCACUGAGCCAUCUCUCCCACCCCCAUUCCACCUCUUAAAAAGGUUAAGGCUGAAUUAGCUCAGUGGUAGAACACUUGGUUAGCGUGUCAGAGGUUUGGACCUGAGGAGAAGCAUUACGGUAUUUUCACCGCCUCUACCACUUCCAACCAAGAAGCAGUACGAGGGCAGAGCCCAGGAUGUGCUGGGUGAAUGGGUAAGUGGAGAAAACACCACACUGUCUGUUCCCAGCAUAGCAUCCACAAAGCCCAGGGUUACUGUUAUGACAGAGAGCUGAAGGUAAGAGCAGUACAUGAACUCUGGUACCCAGGUGACUGGUUUAAAUCCCGGCUUCUACCUAUGGGCUAUGUCACCUCGGGCAUGGCCUUUCUGUGCCUCGGUUCCUUGCACCUCUCGUGGUUUAUGUAGUAGUGACCUAGAGGCUGCACCUUUAAAAUCCCAUCCUGCCGUCUGCUAGUCAGCUUUCUAGACCUUUCUUUCUCCCUCCAGCUGUCAGGCCACAGCGACACAGGCUGACUUUAUUAUUAAUCUAAGGCAAACAUGAUUUGGGAAGAUCUGCUGCUGGGGAAAAAGGAAUUAAUCGCUAUACUGCGAUUGUAAAUAAAAGGGAUUUCUGGGUUGCCUUCUGUUUGAGACAAUCAGGCCACUCGCCAUGUCCUCAACCGAGGUAAGCAACAGCUGACCUUAUUUGCAAGGCUGGAGGACAGAACAGCCCUCAUUGCCUUGGCAAAGGUGAUUACCAGCUGUCCCAUCUCAGCUAGCCCCAGUGGAAGAGUCCCACCCUCUGCCCCUGCUGGGGACAUCUGGAGAGAUGGGUACUGAUGCUGUUGUCCAUGGAAACCAGCAGGAUGAGGAUGUGGAACACAUCUCAGGGAACACAGUACAACUGGCUGCCCUCCACCCCAUGUACCAUCUCUGAACUCUCAGCCCAAGCUGUGAGGGGGAGAGGGUUCUGCCUACGCCUCCACCUCCCUCCGAAAGAGUCACCAGAGUGGGUGAGUGAGAGGAAGCAAGACCACCAACGACUCAGCCUGGAAAGUGUCUUCCCCUUAGUUCUAUCUCCACAGAAUCUCUCUUGUGUUUCCAGACCCUUUCCUAGACCCCAACAAAAAUAACUCAGGGCGAUUGUGAAGAUUCCUGAGUUUAAGAUCUUCACUGGCUUUAUCUUCAGUUCUAAGCUCUCCCAUCCCAUAAAACAGUGGUGUUCUUGUAAGACCUGAAAGGGGUGGUAUUGGGGCUGAGAACUAGAACUCGGGACCUCACACAUCCUCUGUCUCCCACUCAGCCCCAAGAGAUGGGCUUUACAGACAGCAAAGGACCAAGGAGAGCAGAAACAAGGAACGAAAUUCUGAUUGGUCUUUUCAAAGUUCUGUCUUGUAAAAGAGAUUCUUGUAGUCCUUACUGCUGGGUAAAGAUUAAAGCAGAGGGAACCUCAUGAUCGCCCCGCUUGAAACUGACCCAUUUCAAGAAAUCCGGCUGUUCUUACUCAUGUGGCACUUUAGCGAGAGUGAUUCCAUUUUGAUUUCAGUCUGGCCCAAUACAGGACUCGGGUUCGAUUCUUGGUCCAAAGCAGUGACUCCUUGUCAUUUUCUUAUAAUAAUAGUUGUAGGGUUUGUUUUUGUUGUUUUGUUUGGGGUUUUUUUAAAUUUGUUUGUUUGUUUGUUUUUGAUUUUUCGAGACAGGGUUUCUCUG